rnacentral:rRNA from 1 species
CUACGGGUCGCACCAGUGAGGAAUAUUGGACAAUGGGCGAGAGCCUGAUCCAGCAACGCCGCGUGGAGGAUGACGCAUUUCGGUGUGUAAACUCCUUUUAUAUGUCAAGAAAAUGACGGUAGCAUAUGAAUAAGCACCGGCUAACUCCGUGCCAGCAGCCGCGGUAAUACGGAGGGUGCAAGCGUUACUCGGAAUCACUGGGCGUAAAGGACGCGUAGGCGGGUUGGAAAGUCAGGUGUGAAAUCCUACAGCUUAACUGUAGAACUGCACUUGAAACUUCUAAUCUAGAGUAUGGGAGGGGGAGAUGGAAUUAGUGGUGUAGGGGUAAAAUCCGUAGAUAUCACUAGGAAUACCUAAAGCGAAGGCGAUCUCCUGGAACAUUACUGACGCUAAGGCGUGAAAGCGUGGGGAGCAAACAGGAUUAGAUACCCUCGUAGUC